CCCUCAUGGCACAGUUGGUAGAGCAUGGCACUUGUAAAGAGGGUUAGGGGUUCAAUUCCCUUGGGGGA